GAAGGCUUCGGCCUUAANGGCGCACGGGUGCUGUAACGCGUGGGAAUCUCCCCUCAGGUUCGGAAUAACAGCGAGAAAUUGCUGCUAAUACCGGAUGAUAUCGCGAGAUCAAAGAUUUAUCGCCUGAGGAUGAGCCCGCGUAGGAUUAGCUAGUUGGUGUGGUAAAGGCGCACCAAGGCGACGAUCCUUAGCUGGUCUGAGAGGAUGAUCAGCCACACUGGGACUGAGACACGGCCCAGACUCCUACGGGAGGCAGCAGUGGGGAAUAUUGGACAAUGGGCGAAAGCCUGAUCCAGCAAUGCCGCGUGAGUGAUGAAGGCCUUAGGGUUGUAAAGCUCUUUUACCCGGGAUGAUAAUGACAGUACCGGGAGAAUAAGCUCCGGCUAACUCCGUGCCAGCAGCCGCGGUAAUACGGAGGGAGCUAGCGUUAUUCGGAAUUACUGGGCGUAAAGCGCACGUAGGCGGCUUUGUAAGUUAGAGGUGAAAGCCUGGAGCUCAACUCCAGAAUUGCCUUUAAGACUGCAUCGC
rnacentral:rRNA from 1 species